rnacentral:rRNA from 1 species
GAACGAGUUAUCUGAACGCUUCGGGGGACGAUAACGGCGUCGAGCGGGGACGGGUGAGUAAUGCCUAGGAAAUUGCCCUGAUGUGGCGGAUAACCAUUGGAUACGAUGGCUAAUACCGCAUAAUACCUCGGGUCAAAGAGGGGGCACCUUCGGGCCUCUCGCGUCAGGAUAUGCCUAGGUGGGAUUAGCUAGUUGGUGAGGUAAUGGCUCACCAAGGCGACGAUCCCUAGCUGGUCUGAGAGGAUGAUCAGCCACACUGGAACUGAGACACGGUCCAGACUCCUACGGGAGGCAGCAGUGGGGAAUAUUGCACAAUGGGCGCAAGCCUGAUGCAGCCAUGCCGCGUGUGUGAAGAAGGCCUUCGGGUUGUAAAGCACUUUCAGUCGUGAGGAAGGUAGUGUAGUUAAUAGCUGCAUUAUUUGACGUUAGCGACAGAAGAAGCACCGGCUAACUCCGUGCCAGCAGCCGCGGUAAUACGGAGGGUGCGAGCGUUAAUCGGAAUUACUGGGCGUAAAGCGCAUGCAGGUGGUUUGUUAAGUCAGAUGUGAAAGCCCGGGGCUCAACCUCGGAAUAGCAUUUGAAACUGGCAGACUAGAGUACUGUAGAGGGGGGUAGAAUUUCAGGUGUAGCGGUGAAAUGCGUAGAGAUCUGAAGGAUUACCGGUGGCGAAGGCGGCCCCUGGACAGAUACUGACACUCAGAUGCGAAAGCGUGGGGAGCAAACAGGAAUAGAUACCCUGGUAGUCCGACGCCGUAAACGAUGUCUACUUGGAGGUUGUGGCCUUGAGCCGUGGCUUUCGGACCUAACGCGUUAAGUAGACCGCCUGGCGAGUACGGUCGCA